GACGGAGGAUGCAAGCGUUAUCCGGAAUUAUUGGGCGUAAAGGGUGCGUAGGUGGUCAGACAAGUCCCAUGUCAAAGCAUGGUGCUUAACGCCAUAAAGGCGUGGGAAACUGUGUGACUAGAGUACAGCAGGGGCAGGAGGAAUUCCCGGUGUAGCGGUGAAAUGCGUAGAUAUCGGGAAGAACACCAGUGGCGCAAGCGUUCUGCUGGGCUGUAACUGACAAUGAGGCACGAAAGCUAGGGGAGCGAAAGGG
rnacentral:rRNA from 1 species